CUUACCAAACGUUCCCUCGGCGGGCUCAGCGCGCGGUGGCCUCCGGGCCUCCGGGCGUCCGCCGGGGAAAACCAAACCCUGAUUUAAUCGUAUUUCUCUGAGGGGCGAAAGCCCGAAAACAAAAUGAAUCAAAACUUUCAACAACGGAUCUCUUGGCUCUGGCAUCGAUGAAGAACGCAGCGAAAUGCGAUAAGUAAUGUGAAUUGCAGAAUUCAGUGAAUCAUCGAAUCUUUGAACGCACAUUGCGCCCGCCGGCACUCCGGCGGGCAUGCCUGUCCGAGCGUCAUUUCAACCCUCAGGCCCACCCUUCCGGGGGAGCGGGCCUGGUUCUGGGGAUCGGCGGCCCUCGCGGCCCCCGUCCCUCAAAUUCAGUGGCGGUCGCGCCGCAGCCUCCCCUGCGUAGUAGCACAACCUCGCACCGGAGAGCGGAACGACCACGCCGUAAAACACCCAAUUUUUUAAGGUUGACCUCGGAUCAGGUAGGAAUACCCGCUGAACUUAAGCAUAUCAAU
rnacentral:rRNA from 1 species